rnacentral:rRNA from 1 species
GUGGGGAAUAUUGGACAAUGGGGGGAACCCUGAUCCAGCCAUGCCGCGUGUGUGGAGAAGGCCUUUUGGUUGUAAAGCACUUUAAGCGAGGAGGAGGCUACCGAGAUUAAUACUCUUGGAUAGUGGACGUUACUCGCAGAAUAAGCACCGGCUAACUCUGUGCCAGCAGCCGCGGUAAUACAGAGGGUGCAAGCGUUAAUCGGAUUUACUGGGCGUAAAGCGCGCGUAGGUGGCCAAUUAAGUCAAAUGUGAAAUCCCCGAGCUUAACUUGGGAAUUGCAUUCGAUACUGGUUGGCUAGAGUAUGGGAGAGGAUGGUAGAAUUCCAGGUGUAGCGGUGAAAUGCGUAGAGAUCUGGAGGAAUACCGAUGGCGAAGGCAGCCAUCUGGCCUAAUACUGACGCUGAGGUACGAAAGCAUGGGGAGCAAACAGGAUUAGAAACCCUAGUAGUCC